rnacentral:rRNA from 1 species
AACACAUGCAAGUCAGGGGCAGCAUGGAGACGGAGAUUCGUCGAAGUCUUGAUGGCGACCGGCGCAAGGGUGCGUAACGCGUGAGCAACUUGCCCGUUUCAGGGGGAUAACCGGUGGAAACGCCGACUAAUACCCCAUAGCAUCAACUUAGGGCAUCCUUAGUUGAUUAAAGAAUUUCGGAAACGGAUAGGCUCGCGUGACAUUAGCUAGAUGGCGGGUAACGGCCCACCAUGGCUACGAUGUCUAGGGGUUCUGAGAGGAAGGUCCCCCACACUGGAACUGAGACACGGUCCAGACUCCUACGGGAGGCAGCAGUGAGGAAUAUUGGUCAAUGGUCUGACGACUGAACCAGCCAUGCCGCGUGAAGGUCACGGCCCUAUGGGUCUUAAACUUCUUUUGUAAGGGAGCAAUAAGUCUCACGUGUGGGAUGAUGAGAGUACCUUACGAAUAAGCAUCGGCUAACUCCCGUG